AAAAAAGGUAAGCUACUAAGAGCGAAUGGUGGAUGCCUUGACUGGUAAAGGCGAUGAAGGACGUACUAGACUGCGAUAAGCUACGGGGAGCUGUCAAGAAGCUUUGAUCCGUAGAUUUCCGAAUGGGGCAACCCAAUGUAUAGAGAUAUACAUUACCUAUAUAGGAGCGAACGAGGGGAAUUGAAACAUCUUAGUACCCUCAGGAAAAGAAAUCAAUAGAGAUUGCGUCAGUAGCGGCGAGCGAAAGCGCAAGAGGGCAAACCCAGUGCUUGCACUGGGGGUUGUAGGACUGCAAUGUGCAAGAGGUAAGUUUAGCAGAACAUUCUGGAAAGUAUAACCAUAGAGGGUGAUAGUCCCGUAUGCGAAAAACAAACCUUAGCUAGCAGUAUCCUGAGUAGGGCGGGACACGAGGAAUCCUGUCUGAAUCCGGGUCGACCACGAUCCAACCCUAAAUACUAAUACCAGAUCGAUAGUGCACAAGUACCGUGAGGGAAAGGUGAAAAGAACUGAGGUGAUCAGAGUGAAAUAGAACCUGAAACCAUUUGCUUACAAUCAUUCAGAGCCCUAUGUAGCAAUACAGGGUGAUGGACUGCCUUUUGCAUAAUGAGCCUGCGAGUUGUGGUGUCUGGCAAGGUUAAGCAAACGCGAAGCCGUAGCGAAAGCGAGUCUGAAUAGGGCGCUUAGUCAGAUGCUGCAGACCCGAAACGAAGUGAUCUAUCCAUGAGCAAGUUGAAGCUAGUGUAAGAACUAGUGGAGGACUGAACCCAUAGGCGUUGAAAAGCCCCGGGAUGACUUGUGGAUAGGGGUGAAAGGCCAAUCAAACUUCGUGAUAGCUGGUUCUCUCCGAAAUAUAUUUAGGUAUAGCGUUGUGUCGUAAUAUAAGGGGGUAGAGCACUGAAUGGGCUAGGGCAUACACCAAUGUACCAAACCCUAUCAAACUCCGAAUACCUUAUAUGUAAUCACAGCAGUCAGGCGGCGAGUGAUAAAAUCCGUCGUCAAGAGGGAAACAACCCAGACUACCAGCUAAGGUCCCUAAAUCUUACUUAAGUGGAAAACGAUGUGAAGUUACUUAAACAACCAGGAGGUUGGCUUAGAAGCAGCCAUCCUUUAAAGAAAGCGUAAUAGCUCACUGGUCUAGUGAUUUUGCGCGGAAAAUAUAACGGGGCUAAAGUAAGUACCGAAGCUGUAGACUUGCACACAACUUAGAUUAUUUAAGUUUAGAAUAUGAGAAACUAAGUUAUAUGUUUAGUUAUAUUUUUACUGAUUUUUAUAGAGUAAAGAUAGAAAUAAAACUUAGUAAAAUCAGUAAAAAUAUUCUUAGACUAAAGUUAAGUAGUUUAAGUUGUGUGCAAGUGGUAGGAGAGCGUUCUAUUUGCGUCGAAGGUAUACCGGUAAGGAGUGCUGGAGCGAAUAGAAGUGAGCAUGCAGGCAU
rnacentral:rRNA from 1 species